CGCCCCUCCCCCCGAGAGGCGGGCGGCGGGCGGGGAGGAGAGUUGGGCGGGGGAGGGGACGCAGGCCGGGGAGGGGGCGGCGAGGAGCGCGGAAGAGGGGCGAGACGGGCCCCCGGCGCCGCCGGCCGGUCAGGGAGCGGCGGGGCGCGUCUGCAGCCGGCCGAGCGGCCUCCCGCGCGCCGGGGCCCCGCGCCCGCCGCCGCUGCUUCUGCUGCUGCCGCUGCCCGCCGCCUGCGUGCGCUCCAGCCGCGCCCGCAUCCUCGGGGCGCCGCGCCCGGCCCGCUCCCUAGGGCGCCCGCCCGCGCCGCCGCCGCCGCCGCCGCCGGGCCUCGCGCCGACUCAGGGGCCGAGCCGGCCGGUCGCGGGACCCCCGGCGCCGGCGAGCCGCAUUCCGACACAGGAGGGCCGGCCCGGCUGCCGCUCGCCCAGCGCCGCGUUCCUCGGCGGCUGCUCCGCGAGCCGCGGAGCUGAGAUGCACCUGUUCUUCAGCCGGCCCGCAGCCAACCCUCGGCCAGCACUCUCCGGGAGAGACCAAUCCGAGCGCAGCGCGGAGGGCGAGCGGCCGGCUCGCCUCGCUCCCGCCGCCCGCAGCUCCGCGCCGCCGCCGCCGCCCGAGAGUCCAAACUCCUGAGAGCCGCGCCGCCGCCGCCGCCGGCCGGGAACCUGGGGCGCCUGGCCCUACCGCCGAGGGACCCCAACGGGAGGGCAAAGGGUUGCAGAUCAGGCCCGGGCGCCGCGGCCUGGAGGAGCGUGGGGAGGAGGAGCCGGGAGACCGCGUCGGGGGAUCCCGGGCCGGAGGCGGCUCCAGGCGGGCGCGGGUGUGUGCGGAACCGCGGCGCACGGGCUGCGAUUCGGGCGGAGUGGCGCCUCCCACCAGCACCCAAUGGUGGUUUCUUAAUGCGCACAAGAUAAAUAAAUGAGCCAAGCAACACCACCACCGCCACCCCCCGCCGCCGCUCCUCGAUGGAGCUGUGUGGCCAAAGCGGCUCUGGACCGAUUGUGGGUCCUUGGGGUCGUAGCCUGUCGCUGCUGGGCCAGGGAGCCGGGCGGGCGCCUGGCUGUGGUGCGGCUGGAGGGAGAGCUGCCUUUGGCGCCCGGUUCCCGAGGAGCUGCUUAGGGAGGAAAGCUGGGAACCUUUGUGCAGUCCUACCCGCCAGAUGCCGCCAAGCCAUUUAUAACUUACCUUACCUCCCCGUCCCCACCCCCACUCCACCCCACCCCCAGAAAAGCACUGUCUUUAGUUAUGGGUGCUCCCACAACUACACACGUCACAAGGCAAGUGCUUGUGAGAGGUACAAUGUUAUAGGCAGUGGGGUAGAGAGCCCACGGUCGGCUCUCUGUUUCUUCCCUUGCACUGGGAGGCACCUGUGUAGCUCUGUCUCUCAGGUGUGGAGUGGUGCUUGUCUGGGGGCCCCUGCUGCGCAGAGAGCAAGCCAGGAGCGUGGAGCCGGGAUCAGCAUAGUCUAUGCUGAUGGUGCAAAAACUCGCUCGCCAACUGCGCGGAUUUGCUGCUCCAAAGUGGAAACCAACAACGAGGUGGAGAGCCAAGCGGUACUCUGCAGAGAAUGCAUUGGAUCAGGAAGCCCCUGGGGUUUUGGUGCCUACUAGAAUGUACAGACACGGUUAAUAAAUAAUUUUUGAUGGCAGUCA
rnacentral:lncRNA from 1 species